rnacentral:tRNA from 1 species
GCCGUAGUGGUGGAAUUGGUAGACACGCAUGGUUCAGGGUCAUGUGUCAGAAAUGAUGUGGGAGUUCGAGUCUCCCCUACGGCACCA